rnacentral:rRNA from 1 species
CCUACGGGGUGCUGCAGUAGGGAAUCUUCGUCAAUGGGCGCAAGCCUGAACGAGCAAUGCCGCGUGAACGAGGAAGGUCUUCGGAUCGUAAAGUUCUGUUGAAGGGGAAUAAGAGCGGAGAGAGGAAAUGGUCUCCGAUUGAUAUUACCCUUCGAGGAAGUCACGGCUAACUACGUGCCAGCAGCCGCGGUAAUACGUAGGUGGCGAGCGUUCUCCGGAAUGAUUGGGCGUAAAGGGUGCGUAGGCGGCCUGCUAAGUCUGGAGUGAAAGGUACCGGCUCAACCGGUACAGGCUCUGGAAACUGGCGGGCUAGAGAGCAGGAGAGGGCGGUGGAACUCCAUGUGUAGCGGUAAAAUGCGUAGAUAUAUGGAAGAACACCAGUGGCGAAGGCGGCCGCCUGGCCUGUUACUGACGCUGAGGCACGAAAGCGUGGGGAGCAAAUAGGAUUAGAUACCCGGGUAGUC